rnacentral:lncRNA from 1 species
GCAUGUUUAGAUGGAUCAUGGUUCCUAAGUCUAGAUACUUGGUUUCUAGUAUGGGGAUUGAGUGAGAUAGUGAGUUGUGAUAAGGGUCAGAGUUAGACCUAGUCAAAAGAGUGUUGAUAGUGAAUGAUUGAGUGAAGAAUGAUAAAGAUGCAUGGUUCAAAAUAUUUUGACCAUGUUACAUAUUUGAAAGUGGUUUAUCGUUUGAAUUGAGAUGUGGA